CUACAACUGGGGACGCUCGCAGCUCUCGGCGCUGGGCCCAGCUUCCUUCAAAAUGUCUACUGUUCACGAAAUUCUCUGCAAGCUCAGCUUGGAGGGUGAUCACUCCACGCCCCCAAGUGCAUACGGGUCGGUCAAAGCAUACACCAAUUUUGAUGCUGAGCGUGAUGCUCUGAAUAUUGAAACGGCCAUCAAGACCAAAGGUGUGGAUGAGGUCACCAUUGUCAACAUUUUGACCAACCGCAGCAAUGAACAGAGACAGGAUAUUGCCUUCGCCUACCAGAGAAGGACCAAAAAGGAACUUGUAUCAGCACUCAAGUCAGCCUUGUCCGGCCACCUGGAGACCGUGAUUUUGGGCCUUUUGAAAACACCUGCUCAGUAUGAUGCUUCUGACCUGAAAGCCUCCAUGAAGGGGCUGGGGACUGACGAGGACUCCCUCAUUGAGAUCAUCUGCUCAAGGACCAACCAAGAGCUUCAGGAAAUUAACAAAGUCUACAAAGAAAUGUACAAGACUGAUCUGGAGAAGGACAUCGUUUCUGACACAUCUGGUGACUUCCGCAAGCUGAUGGUUGCCCUUGCAAAGGGUAGAAGAGCAGAGGAUGGCUCUGUCAUUGAUUAUGAACUGAUUGACCAAGAUGCCCGGGAUCUCUAUGAUGCUGGAGUGAAGAGGAGAGGAACUGAUAUGCCCAAGUGGAUCAGCAUCAUGACUGAGUGGAGUGUGCGUCACCUCCAGAAAGUAUUUGAAAGGUACAAGAGCUACAGCCCUUAUGACACGCUGGAGAGCAUCAAGAAGGAGGUCAAAGGAGACCUGGAAAAUGCUUUCCUGAACCUGGUCCAGUGCAUUCAGAACAAGCCCCUGUAUUUUGCUGACCGGCUGUACGACUCCAUGAAGGGCAAGGGGACUCGUGAUAAAGUCCUGAUUAGAAUCAUGGUCUCUCGCAGUGAAGUGGACAUGUUGAAAAUUAGGUCUGAAUUCAAGAGGAAGUACAGCAAGUCCCUGUACUACUACAUCCAGCAAGACACGAAGGGUGACUACCAGAAAGCGCUGCUGGUACCUGUGUGGUGGGGAUGACUGAGGCCCACGAUGGAUGAGCACCCAGCAGUGGUGCUCCUUUGUUUCCAGCUAACAGUUCUAGAAAAUAGCUUGUGACUAACAGACCCCUUGUGCCUGUCCCUGUGAGGAUAGCGUUG